rnacentral:rRNA from 1 species
CAUUGAAACACCAGUUCUUGUAUGAUCACCAAAGUCAAGCAAUGUCAAGCCUGGUCAGUACCUAGAUGGGUGACCUCUUGGGAAUACCAGGUGCUAUA